rnacentral:rRNA from 1 species
GACGAACGCUGGCGGCGUGCUUAACACAUGCAAGUCGAACGGAAAGGCCCUGCUUUUGUGGGGUGCUCGAGUGGCGAACGGGUGAGUAACACGUGAGUAACCUGCCCUUGACUUUGGGAUAACUUCAGGAAAAUGGGGCUAAUACCGGAUAGGAGCCCCUGCUGCAUGGUGGGGGGUGGAAAGGUUCGGCGGUUGGGGAUGGACUCGCGGCUUAUCAGGUUGUUGGUGGGGGAGUGGCUUACCAAGGCUUUGACGGGUAGCCGGCCUGAGAGGGUGACCGGCCACAUUGGGACUGAGAUACGGCCCAGACUCCUACGGGAGGCAGCAGUGGGGAAUAUUGCACAAUGGGCGGAAGCCUGAUGCAGCAACGCCGCGUGCGGGAUGACGGCCUUCGGGUUGUAAACCGCUUUCGCCUGUGACGAAGCGUGAGUGACGGUAAUGGGUAAAGAAGCACCGGCUAACUACGUG